GACGAACGCUGGCGGCGUGCUUAACACAUGCAAGUCGAACGGAAAGGCCCUGCUUUUGUGGGGUGCUCGAGUGGCGAACGGGUGAGUAACACGUGAGUAACCUGCCCUUGACUUUGGGAUAACUUCAGGAAACUGGGGCUAAUACCGGAUAGGAGCUCCUGCUGCAUGGUGGGGGUUGGAAAGUUUCGGCGGUUGGGGAUGGACUCGCGGCUUAUCAGCUUGUUGGUGGGGUAGUGGCUUACCAAGGCUUUGACGGGUAGCAGGCCUGAGCGGGUGACCGGACACAUUGGGACUGAGAUAAGGCCCAGACUACUACGGGAGGCAGCAGUGGGGAAUAUUGCACAAUGGGAGGAAGCCUGAUGCAGCAACGCCGCGUGCGGGAUGACGGCAUUCGGGUUGUAAACCGCUUUCGCCUGUGACGAAGCGUGAGUGACGGUAAUGGGUAAAGAAGCACCGGCUAACUACGUG
rnacentral:rRNA from 1 species